UAAGGGCACACGGUGGAUGCCUUGGCACCAGGAACCGAAGAAGGACGUAGGAAUCUGCGAUAAGCCUCGGGGAGUCGAUAACCAGACUGUGAUCCGAGGAUUUCCGAAUGGGGAAACCCGGCUGGAGGCAAGUCCAGUCACUCCCGCCUGAACACAUAGGGCGGGUAGAGGGAACGUGGGGAAGUGAAACAUCUCAGUACCCACAGGAAGAGAAAGCAACCGCGAUUCCGUGAGUAGUGGCGAGCGAAAGCGGAAGAGGCUAAACCUCAGUUGUGUGAUACCUGUCAGGGGUUGCAGCUGGGGGGUCGUGGGACUUUUCGGUCAGUGCUGACACGCUGGCAUGGAGUCAGAAAUGCGCGUUGUAGUCGAAGGGCAUUGAAAGGCCCGGCACAGAGGGUGCUACCCCCGUAGACGAAACGAUGCGCACUCCAGAGAAGUAUCCCAAGUAGCACGGGGCCCGAGAAAUCCCGUGUGAAUCUGGCGGGACCACCCGCUAAGCCUAAAUAUUCCCUGGUGACCGAUAGCGGACAAGUACCGUGAGGGAAAGGUGAAAAGUACCCCGGGAGGGGAGUGAAAUAGAUCCUGAAACCGUGUGCCUACAAUCCGUCGGAGCCUCCUUGUGGGGUGACGGCGUGCCUUUUGAAGAAUGAGCCUGCGAGUUAGUGCUCAGUGGCGAGGUUAACCCGUGUGGGGAAGCCGUAGCGAAAGCGAGUCCGAAUAGGGCGUUUUAGUCGCUGGGUCUAGACCCGAAGCGGAGUGAUCUACCCAUGGCCAGGUUGAAGCGACGGUAAGACGUCGUGGAGGACCGAACCCACUUAGGUUGAAAACUGAGGGGAUGAGCUGUGGGUAGGGGUGAAAGGCCAAUCAAACUCCGUGAUAGCUGGUUCUCCCCGAAAUGCAUUUAGGUGCAGCGUCACGUGUUUCUUACCGGAGGUAGAGCUACUGGAUAGCUGAUGGGCCUC
rnacentral:rRNA from 1 species